rnacentral:snRNA from 1 species
AAGAAACUAGUAGAGAGAAAGUUU